UACGUAGGGUGCAAGCGUUAAUCGGAAUUACUGGGCGUAAAGCGCACGUAGGCGGAUUCGUAAGUCAGGGGUGAAAUCCCGGGGCUCAACCUCGGAACUGCCUUUGAUACUGCGGAUCUCGAGUCCGAUAGAGGUGGGUGGAAUUCCUAGUGUAGAGGUGAAAUUCGUAGAUAUUAGGAAGAACACCGGUGGCGAAGGCGGCCCACUGGAUCGGUACUGACGCUGAGGUGCGAAAGCGUGGGGAGCAAACAGG
rnacentral:rRNA from 1 species